AUGAAUAUCGGCAUAAACUACAGGACGCGUACCACCACCAAGUGCCUGGUAUCAUGGAGAGGCCCCAGCGACCCCUCGUGGGGGCGCUUUUCCUAUGGCAGCGACACGAACAGGUCGUUCCAAACAUUCUUGUGGGACGGCGAGCACCGGGUAUCUCGUGCCGCCCCCUGGACAGAGUAUCUAGUGAUGAGCCUACGGCAACAACAACUACUUGGGGCCACAAAUAGCAGUGAUCUUAUCAUCUACCUAGCCUAUGUCAACAAUGACGAUGAGGCAUACGUCACUUAUAGCCUCUCCGACGGCGCCCCACGCACCAGGAUGGUGCUAACCUACUAUGGUGAGUUUCAGAUCCAAAGCUGGAGCAGUAAGUCAUCAACAUGGGUUGUCCUCUGGAAGUUUCCAUCCGCUGAAUGCAACCAUUACAGUUACUGCGGCCCGUAUGGCUACUGUGACGAGACGGCGGAGGCACCCACCGUGCCAACAUGCAGGUGUCUCGAUGGCUUUGAGCCGAGUAGCAUGGAGGAGUGGACUAGCGGCAGAUACUCGGCGGGGUGCCGACGGAAGGAGGCACUGCAAGGGUGCAGUGACGGCUUCGUGGCCUUGCCGGGGAUGAAGUCGCCUGAUGGGUUUUUGUUUAUUGCUGGAGGGAGGAGUAAGUAUGAGGAGUGUGCGGCGGAGUGUAGCCGCAAUUGCUCCUGUGUGGCAUAUGCGUUCGCCAACCUGAGCAGCAGCAGGUUCGAAGGACACGUGACGAGAGGUGCUUGGUGUGGUCUGGGGAGUUAA
rnacentral:rRNA from 1 species